rnacentral:rRNA from 1 species
UACGUAGGGCGCAAGCGUUGUCCGGAAUUAUUGGGCGUAAAGAGCUCGUAGGCGGCUUGUCACGUCGGGUGUGAAAGCCCGGGGCUUAACCCCGGGUCUGCAUUCGAUACGGGCUAGCUAGAGUGUGGUAGGGGAGAUCGGAAUUCCUGGUGUAGCGGUGAAAUGCGCAGAUAUCAGGAGGAAUACCGGUGGCGAAGGCGGCAUCCUGGACCAUUACUGACGCUGAGGCGCGAAAGCUAGGGGAGCAAACGGG